CCCCACAUGGUAUAAUGUAUGUGUAGAGAAGUUAUGGCGGUGGCUAUCCAAUCUGAAAGAGAGGUGAUGCGUAUGCACGUAUUUCCGAAAUUCACAGAAAGGAGAGGCCUUUUGUCAGCAUAUGAAACAAUUCAGACAAUUCUUGGGUUUGGUAUGUUUACCAUUGCUUUGAUUGCGCUGAUUGUGA
rfam:Mycobacterium abscessus strain PAP053 genome assembly, contig: ERS075544SCcontig000036